rnacentral:lncRNA from 1 species
AUGGAACUUGCAUUCUCAAAAAACAGGGCUCGUUCACCUGGCUUCUCACUUCGGAAUUCUAGAGGAAUGGUUGACCUAACGCAUGAACCAACUAUCCGAGAUUCUGCCUUCCGCUUUGAAAACAUUGGGAAGGGGUCGGGCUUUCAGCUGAUUCGAAAGGGAUGGUCAAGCCAAGGAAAGAUUCGAUUGCCGGUCUUUAAUGCAAUAGUUCGGCAGGCAACCAAUGGAAAGAUUCGAUAG